AACGAACGCUGGCGGCGCGUCUUAAGCAUGCAAGUCGAACGGCAAGAGAGGAGCUUGCUUCUCUCCUAGAGUGGCGGACUGGUGAGGAACACGUGGGUAAUCUACCCUUAAGAUGGGGAUAGCUGCUAGAAAUAGCAGGUAAUACCGAAUACACUCGGCAUAUCACAAGAGGUGUUGAGGAAAGGAAGCUACGGCUUCGCUUGAGGAUGAGCUUGCGUCCCAUUAGCUAGUUGGUGAGGUAAAGGCCCACCAAGGCGACGAUGGGUAUCCGGCCUGAGAGGGUGAACGGACACAUUGGGACUGAGAUACGGCCCAAACUCCUACGGGAGGCAGCAGCUAAGAAUAUUCCGCAAUGGGCGGAAGUCUGACGGAGCGACGCCGCGUGGAUGAAGAAGGCUGAAAAGUUGUAAAAUCCUUUUGUUGAUGAAGAAUAAGGGUGAGAGGGAAUGCUCAUCUGAUGACGGUAAUCGACGAAUAAGCCCCGGCUAAUUACGUG
rnacentral:rRNA from 1 species